UUUCCGUAGGUGAACCUGCGGAAGGAUCAUUACUGAGUGAGGGCCCAUCGGGGUCCAACCUCCCACCCGCGUUUAACGAACCUUGUUGCUUCUGCGGGCCCGACUCACGGCCACCCGGGGGCAUUUGCCCCCGGGCCCGCGCCCGCCGAAGCCACCUGUGAACGCUGUCUGAAGUAUGCAGUCUGAGACAAUUAUUAAAUUGAUUAAAACUUUCAACAACGGAUCUCUUGGUUCCG
rnacentral:misc_RNA from 1 species